CAGCGCGAGGAGGCGGUGGCGGCGGCGGCGCCCGGGCGCGGCGCGGCCGCGGGAGCGGGGGUGGGUUUAUGGCGGCGGCUCUGUCCGCGCUCGCUGCCAGGCUCUCCCAGUCGGCCGCGGCCAGGUCCUACGGCGUGUUCUGCAAGGGGCUUACCAGGACCCUUCUCAUCUUCUUCGACCUGGCCUGGAAGCUCCGCAUCAACUUCCCCUACCUCUACAUCGUCGCCUCCAUGAUGCUCAACGUGCGGCUGCAGGUCCAUAUUGAGAUCCAUUAACUUGUGAUUUGGUGUGCUGCUUGCACUGUAUGCUGCAACUAGUCAGUCACACUCUUCUUCAAAUCCAGCCUGUUGUGAAGCAGCAAAGCUGUGCUCGUGUGCUCUAGGACUAUGAAGAAAGAAGAUUUUACCCAGAAACGAGUACGUGACGAUGGCCCAGAUCAUCACAAGCCAGCAGCUCAUCUGACACAUGUGCAUUCCAUGUUGGACAGUUCUCAAAAUCAUCGUAGCAGUUUACAAGAAUUAUAUAACAUCGGGAAUUGUUCUCUCUUUAAUAAUAUACCUCUGCCUUCUGGUGGCAAGGAAAUGCCUCUGAGCUUCAGUGAAUCAGCAGGGACGAACUCAAGUGCAGCUGCUCCUUGGAAGGAUUCAUUUCAUCUGCAUUUUUCUUCUGGGAAAGACAGUCUCGAUAGGGCUUCUCACUGCAUCGAUGGUAUCUCAGUAACAGGCUGGCUGGAAGAAGCUUGUAGCAUUUCUGGAGACUUCAGCUCACGCUGCCCAGGAGACAACUUUGUAUGUUUUGCACAAUUCUGGCUGGGAAAUUUGCAGUAUAAUAAAAACCUGUGGUUUCUGGAAUUAGAAAUGAGCAGUGGCAAAGAGAAUGAAUUGCAGUUUGCAUUUUUUAAAGUAUUGGAGCUUGGUGGACUUCUUGAUCCCUGUUCUAAGAACAACUAUGCUGUGGGACUCAUAAACAACCAGAAACCAUGUUUUUCUCUUUGUUACUUAAACCUUGUAUCUUCAGAGCAAACACUUGGAUACGAGCAAAUGCUUUUGAAUAUACAAUAUGUGACUAAUACUUUUCACAUCAUACAGCUAGUGAUCUCUGUGCUAGCUUUUGCACUAGCAGGUCUCUGGUGUGCAGUAGUGAAGAGAAAGAUGUUUACAACUUUGUAUGUAUUUUUAAAAUGUAUUGUGACACUUUUAACUUGGGAGAGAAGUUUCCAUAGUAGACUUGAAACCUGA
rnacentral:lncRNA from 1 species